GAUGAAGUAAUUGCGGUUUGUUCCCUCACACAAUCAGUCAGUUAGCAGAUCUGCUCAGGAAAUCAGUUUCAAAGGAGCAAUUUAUGUUUUCCAAGUCCAAACUGGACGUUGCAAAUUUGCAUGCACCAGUUUGAGUGGGGAAUGUGUCAUCAUAUGCUCUCAGCUCGGUUCAGACUUUCCCUCUUGGGUUCGUUAAAUUCCAGCCUCUAAAUUGACGCCAAAUAAUUUGGAGCUGAAGAUAUUUGCUGCAUGCGUAGAAGGAUCGAGAGGAUUUCAGGAAUCAAAGGCGGUUAAGGCUCCAGAGGAUUUAAGGAAUCAUCAGAAUUUGUUACACAUUUCUAUCGAUUCUUUUGUAAAGUGUAUAAGUAUGGUCUCCCUGAACAAUGAAGAGAUUCAGCACUUUCAUUCUCUGGGCUCUCUAGCUCUCCCCUGUUUUUUUCCCUUUUCUUGUCUCUCGGAGUCCUCUUUGUUGAAAUCCUUAUGCAAGGCAUCAGGCCUUACAAUCGUCGACCGGAAAAAUAUGUCGGUGUAGGUCACCUGCCAGAAGAUGAAUCGCUUCAUUCCCCAUUUCUAUGCUUGGGCACCGUUUUGCAGAAAAAAAAAACCUCGAAAAUCCUCUUCAUUCCCCUCAACUCACCCUAAAGCUCCCUUUCUCUUUGAGGUGUCACCCCGGCGCUCCCAUGCCGGGAACAGAGUUUCUAUGCUUGACUUUCUCGCUCUUGUUUGUCUGCUGUUUAUAUUACCUGAUCCUAGCGUGAGGGUCGUUUUCUGGGAUGGGUUUAAUACAAGCACACCUGAUUGCUGUGAAUGCCCAUGGCUUCCUGUCAGUCAGCUUGUGGAUACAACAGUUUAGGCAAGGUUUUUUUGGUGUUCCGCAUAAGAAUACUCUUGUCAAGAAAGGAAGGAGAAGAAGAGAUAUUUAAUGGACGAAUACCGGAGGUAAAUUAUUUGCUGUGCUCUGUAUUUCCUCAUAUAUUUCUUGGUUUUUCUAUGUGUUUUGUACAUGUGGUCCGGUCCAAUGAGAAUGAAUGUCGUUAAUGAUGAAGUGUAACUCGUUGUUCAGCGUUUUAGUUUGAUUUUAUUACUGUUGCACAUAUAUUGUUUGUUGAAAUGCUUGUUCAUAGGUUGCUUGAACAAUAGCAACUUAGAACAGCACUGAGUUGUUUGACCAAAUGCCUACUCGUUAUGGAGAACGCCAUGUCUUUUUCAGCCUUUGCUUGAAGGAAGCUGGACUUUGAUAUACAUGCUUUUUGGAGAUCAGGAGUCUUUCAUCACUUAGAUAAAUCAUUUUAUUGAUUUCAUCGCAAGGAAAGAACAUCAGGUCUCAUAACAUUGAUCCAACCCAACUUACCUGUUACAGAAAUGAAUUAUUUGACAAAACCUUCGUUCCAGUUGUUUGUUUGUCUAGGUAAAACAGGAGGGCUGCAUAUGGCUUUUGUGAAGGACAUGUUGAAGGAUUGGAGCAGAUGAUAAAGGACGUUUUGGAAGGUAAAAGCCAAUGAUUCUUACCUAGACUAAUUUGUUUUAAGCAUGCUUUUGGUAAUUUGGUACAUAAGCAUCAAUGCACCCAUUGUGUGGUGGGUGGCGUUGAAUUACAAGUGUUGCUUGUACUACCUUUACUUUUUGUAUUUGAAACUUUGCGAAACUAGUCUUAUAAUUUCUGAAUGUGUUUGAAUUCUCUUCCUAGUUUUAACUGUUUGGUAGUUCCUUUCAGUGCGGCUGUUAGUGUUGCCAAACCACCUAGAGGUUCUACUGUUGCAGUCUAUGGAUUGGGUGUUCUAGGGCUAGCAGUAGGCUUCCUACUACUAUGUCCGUUUCUGAUUUAGUUAUAUUUGCUCUUUUUUACGACA